rnacentral:antisense_RNA from 1 species
CUUGACCGAACCCAGCCGCAGGGGCUCCUCGCGUUCCUGGCCGUAGGUGGCGAGCAGCGCGUUGGCCUC